UACGAAGGGGGCUAGCGUUGCUCGGAAUCACUGGGCGUAAAGGCGCGUAGGCGGCCAUUCAAGUCAGGGGUGAAAGCCUGUGGCUCAACCACAGAAUUGCCUUUGAUACUGUUUGGCUAGAGACCGGAAGAGGUAAGUGGAACUGCGAGUGUAGAGGUGAAAUUCGUAGAUAUUCGCAAGAACACCAGUGGCGAAGGCGGCUUACUGGUCCGGUUCUGACGCUGAGGCGCGAAAGCGUGG
rnacentral:rRNA from 1 species